rnacentral:lncRNA from 1 species
AAUAAUAGUAAUGGUACGAAUGGGAAAAGAAUAAGAGCUGAAGAUGUGAUAUGUAAGCUCAAAGACGACGGUGAUUUCGAUAAGCUUCGCCUCAAAAUUCUCCGCAAACUCAAAGAAAACGUCAGUAUUUUGCUUUUUCUUCUUUUGUUAUAGCUUGUUAUUUAGCGUUUUUCAUUGGGCUAACCUAUUUAUUUAUCUUCGGUUCUGUAUUAUUAUACUUGUUUAGGGUUUAAGUUAUAUACACCGGUACCUAAUGUAAUCCCACAAAGGGGUAUGGGAAGAAUAUUAUGUAUACAGUUUUU